UGUACAUGGAACAUCCCAAGCACAAGCAGAGCUGCAGUGAGCCUAUACAACGAGCUAGCUGUGGGAAUAAAGAAGUAUUGGGACUGCAUAUCCAAGCAAAUGAUGCCAUGCACUCCUUCGUACAACCUUGUAAGCAAAAAAGAAGUUGCAGUGUGCCUGUACAAAGAACUAGCGUUAGCCCAAUAUCAAAGAGUGAGGUCCCCAUGGACGUUGUAUCAUCCCACAGCAGUGGCAC